UAAAGACUCGGCCGCACGACUCACCCGGCGGCCUCGCCACGAACUGGAGCGUGACUCGGACCGCAUACGACUACAUGCAAGGAAUCUAUGGGCCGCGACGCUAACUGAGGUCGCCACUGCCAGACUUCAAACAAAAUCAACGUGGAACAAAACAAGUGAUGUGUUUAACCCAACAAACCACCCCCUUAAGCACAGCAUCUAUUCUUCACCUCCACCGCACCCAAUCUUUGCCGUAGCUUGAUGAACUUCAUGCGCUCGAGGGGUUUCGUCAGAAUAUCGGUCCCCAAUCAAUUUACCGAGCCAUACUCCAUAGCCGCUGCUAUGUACUCAGCUUCAUAGGAGGAGAGAGCAACGAUCUUCUAUUUCUAGGACACCCAAGUAAUUAAGCUAUCUCCAAGAAGAAAGCCAUCCCUGAUGUGCUCUUCCGGUCAUCAACAUCACUAGCAAGAUUAUUGUCACAGUACCCAUGCAAUCUAGGCUCCAGCAUGUCGGACCGCAUGUAUUGACACCCAAAAAGAUGCAGUGCCACGACAAGGAUACACAUGGAUACAAGGGAAUACUGCAUUGUAGUCAUCUUCAAGGGAUUCUACAACAUCUCCAAGGACGUCAUCACCAUAAUUCAUGUCUUCUCCGAGCUCAUCGCCAAGUAUAUCUUCUUCGUCAAUAUCAAUGGCGCAAAGAGGGAGAAAGAUACUACCUAAGGGUGCUACUAAAUCAUGUGGCAGGUGCAACUUCAUAUGAGCAUCUAAAGAUUGUGGAUGGUGUUGUAUACCUUACCUUUUGAGAAGCCAUCGAGAAAAGAGGUCUUAUCAAGACUGAUGGUAGCAUCGAUGAUUGGCUAACAGAGAUCAAAGGAUUCCAUAUGACAUCAUCUCUUUGAAGGCUAUUUGCUACAAUAUUGGCGUUGUGUGAACUUAUGAUGUUUGUGGACUCUCGAAUAAACAAGUGAGAAUAUCGCUAUGAUGUAUGUUAUCUUUGAUUAAAGUAUA